UACGGGGGGAGCAAGCGUUGUUCGGAUUUACUGGGCGUAAAGGGCGCGUAGGCGGCCAGCACAAGUCAGUUGUGAAAUCUCCGGGCUUAACUCGGAACGGUCAACUGAUACUGCGCGGCUAGAGUGCAGAAGGGGCAACUGGAAUUCUCGGUGUAGCGGUGAAAUGCGUAGAUAUCUGGAGGAACACCGGUGGCGAAGGCGGCAUCCUGGACCGACACUGACACUGAGGAGCGAAAGCCAGGGGAGCAAACGGG
rnacentral:rRNA from 1 species